GACGAACGCUGGCGGCGUGCUUAACACAUGCAAGUCGAACGGAAAGGCCCUGCUUUUGUGGGGUGCUCGAGUGGCAAACGGGUGAGCAACACGUGAGUAACCUGCCCUUGACUUUGGGAUAACUUCAGGAAACUGGGGCUAAUACCGGAUAGGAGCUCCUGCUGCAUGGUGGGGGUUGGAAAGUUUCGGCGGUUGGGGAUGGACUCGCGGCCUAUCAGCUUGUUGGUGGGGUAGUGGCUUACCAAGGCUUUGACGGGUAGCCGGCCUGAGAGGGUGACCGGCCACAUUGGGACUGAGAUACGGCCCAGACUCCUACGGGAGGCAGCAGUGGGGAAUAUUGCACAAUGGGCGGAAGCCUGAUGCAGCAACGCCGCGUGCGGGAUGACGGCCUUCGGGUUGUAAACCGCUUUCGCCUGUGACGAAGCGUGAGUGACGGUAAUGGGUAAAGAAGCACCGGCUAACUACGUG
rnacentral:rRNA from 1 species